rnacentral:tRNA from 7 species
GGCCCGUUGGUCAAGCGGUUAAGACACCGCCCUUUCACGGCGGUAACACGGGUUCGAAUCCCGUACGGGUCACUA